UACGUAGGGGGCAAGCGUUGUCCGGAAUUAUUGGGCGUAAAGAGCGUGUAGGCGGUCCGAUAAGUCGGCUGUGAAAGUCAAGGGCUCAACCCUUGAAUGCCGGCCGAUACUGUCGGGCUAGAGUCCGGAAGAGGCGAGUGGAAUUCCCGGUGUAGCGGUGAAAUGCGCAGAUAUCGGGAGGAACACCAAUGGCGAAGGCAGCUCGCUGGGACGGUACUGACGCUGAGACGCGAAAGCGUGGGGAGCAAACAGG
rnacentral:rRNA from 1 species